rnacentral:lncRNA from 1 species
CAGGGAACUCUCUUACCAAGGAGAACAUACAGAUGAAUUUAAAUGGUGUAAUACCACUGAAGCAGAAGAUUUACAGCUGACCAUGGUGGAUAGAGGUCCUCAAGGGCCGGAUGUGGAGAAGGAAUCUUACAGUUCAUAAACAAGAUCAUAAAAGAACAACUUGCUUUGUUACCACUUCUACUGAGGCUGUGAAACACGAGUUACUGAAAAUACUACACUGCAGCUUGUGUCCAUGAGGCUCAGGAGAAUGAGAUGCUGUGCUGCAAACAACUCAGAAGCAGGAAAGGAGAAGAAGGAGGGGAGAAAAUGAGCUGCCUCAGUAAUAUACCUCCUCUGACAAAGCUGAAAGUGCCUGGCUAUUUCUCAGCAAAUGAAAAAAAGUCUAAAGGAAUGAGGACUUGUGUGGCCUCCCCCAACCAAAAAAAUAAAAAAAGAGGAAAUGAGGUCAUAAGAAUGGCUGAAUCAAAUGACCAUGAGACAGCUGUGUCCAAAUUUCUAUGUGGUAUUUAUAUAGUGAAUACAAAUGAGAAAUCUGAUUUGAAGGUGUGGAGAGCUCUGCUCCACUUAUGCAUGAAAGUCUCUUAUGAAAGUGUAUGCAAAAUUCAGAUGUGUGCCACUGGUUUUGGAGCUACAGAACAUGCAAUUUCC